rnacentral:rRNA from 1 species
GCGCGAAAACUUUGCAAUGUGCGAAAGCACGACAAGGUUAGUCCGAGUGGUUCCUGCUAAAGGAAUCUUUUGUCGGUCACAAAACCACCGACGAAUAAGGGGUGGGCAAGUUCUGGUGUCAGCCGCCGCGGUAAAACCAGCACCUCAAGUGGUCAGGAGGAUUAUUGGGCCUAAAGCAUCCGUAGCCGGCUGUGCCAGUCUUCGGUUAAAUCCAUGUGCUCAACGCAUGGGCUGCCGGAGAUACUGCACAGCUAGGGAGUGGGAGAGGUAGACGGUACUUGGUAGGAAGGGGUAAAAUCCUUUAAUCUACUGAUGACCACCUGUGGCGAAGGCGGUCUACUAGAACACGUUCGACGGUGAGGGAUGAAAGCUGGGGGAGCAAACCGGAUUAGAUACCCGGGUAGUCCCAGCUGUAAACAAUGCAAACUCAGUGAUGCACUGGCUUGUGGCCAGUGCAGUGCCGCAGGGAAGCCGUUAAGUUUGCCGCCUGGGAAGUACGUACGCAAGUAUGAAACUUAA